rnacentral:rRNA from 1 species
UCACCUACGGGCGGCAGCAGUAGGGAAUCUUCCACAAUGGACGCAAGUCUGAUGGAGCAACGCCGCGUGAGUGAAGAAGGGUUUCGGCUCGUAAAGCUCUGUUGGUAGUGAAGAAAGAUAGAGGUAGUAACUGGCCUUUAUUUGACGGUAAUUACCUAGAAAGUCACGGCUAACUACGUGCCAGCAGCCGCGGUAAUACGUAGGUGGCAAGCGUUGUCCGGAUUUAUUGGGCGUAAAGCGAGUGCAGGCGGUUCAAUAAGUCUGAUGUGAAAGCCUUCGGCUCAACCGGAGAAUUGCAUCAGAAACUGUUGAACUUGAGUGCAGAAGAGGAGAGUGGAACUCCAUGUGUAGCGGUGGAAUGCGUAGAUAUAUGGAAGAACACCAGUGGCGAAGGCGGCUCUCUGGUCUGCAACUGACGCUGAGGCUCGAAAGCAUGGGUAGCGAACAGGAUUAGAUACCCUUGUAGUC